CAUAUUUAGGAAUUUAUUCAAUGUCCAUACAACAAAAUGCAGACAAAUGCAUAUAUCAAGAUUCUGUUCACUACUCACUGUAUUCAAGAACAAGAAAGGUGAGACACUGACUGAUAAAACCCUGUAUGAAUCCAUUAUUCUGGCUACAUUUAUUCAGUUACAUAUUAAUAUUUCUCUCACAUUUUGCUAUCUCAAAUAUAUUUUAUAACAUGUUAGAAUAUCUAAACAACUGCAUUCAUUGAAAAAGAUGUAACCAAACACUCAUACACACACCAUUUACAACAGAUAUCUUUACUCUGGAAUAAGUUAACAAUAAUUCUCUCAUUACAUAACUACAUAAUAAUAAAAAAAAUCUUUCAUUUCCAGAAAGUGACAGUUUCCUUAUUUUUCUCUACUGCAUAUGGCAGAAAUUUCUAGUAUCUACACUUAUUCCAGAUACAAGAAGAAACAGCUGUUUUAUGAGUACUGAAAGCACUGUAGACACUUCUUUGCAAUGGUGCAGACAUGCACUGUCAGUGAUAUGCUCUUUCUACAUCUGACAAACAAAAUAAGAAAUUAAUCUGAGGUAAAUGACCGGAUAUUGAUUAUAGCUGGAUUGUUUAGUAGUAUAAAGCAUCCUGCAUGCUGUUCAGUGUCUGCAGCAUGGAUAAUACAGUUCAGGAACAACAUCCUCCAUUAAUACUUCCACUUCACGAAAAAGCCUCUUCCAUGCUUCUCACUUCACGCGUAAGUGCUGAAAUGUAUGGGUAUUAACCCUUUCCCUGGUCUCUUACAAAUCUUCUCUCAUUUUGUCUUCCCAGUGCCAAUUUGUUUACCAACUGAAAUUUUAUAUUUUUAAGAAAUCCUACUGUUGGCCAUCCAUAACACUCAUCCCUAAUUUAACCACAUUUCUUGUGAGAAUAAGAAAAAAAAGUUUUAACAUACUCUUGGAUGAAGAAUUACUUGACACUUUAAAACUUUGCCUUAUGCCUUUGUUCUGUCAAUGAUGUAUAGGACUUUGGAUUAUUGAACAUCAUCUGGUAUUCUCUACAACACAAUGUUUUGGGAAUUGGGUCCGUUCCAGUCCACAGAUGAAAGGGUGGGAGGCACCUACAAUGUCUGAUCCAUCAGACAGAGCUAGCCUCAAUCACUGGACCAGUCAGAGAUUCAACAAAGCAGUGUCCCACACCCUUCUAUAUGAGAACAGAAAAAGACCAAGUUUCCAAAAAUCUGUUUUUUUUAGAGUACAAGACCCUGGGUGAAGUCCAAAAAUUCAGUUUUAAUUUUCAAUAAUUAAAAAAAGAGUCAGUAAAAUUAGUCUACUAAUCCAUAAUAGCUAUUAGUUUAAAAGAUACAGACUGCGAUGGAUUUAUAUACAUACAAAUUCAGGGCAUUUUACAUUGAGGAACUUCAGGAUUUACAGUGGAACCCCUAUUUCAUGUUUUUUUGGGAGCAGUAGACUUGAACACUAAACUGAGGUUGAUCACAAAUGUGUGAAAUCUAACACUAAGAUUAUUGACUUAGGAAUGCUAUAACUAUUAGAUCAGGGAACAUCUUAAAUCAAGAAACAUUAACAGGAGGUCUACUGCAUACAGGUCACUUAAUAUUCUUUGGAUAAUUAUAUUUAG